rnacentral:lncRNA from 1 species
CUGAUUUGGUCAGAAAAUGGAAAUGUUUCCGUUUAGGGCAAUAGACUUAUCCAAAAGAAAUCAUCUUACAAUGGUUUGUCAAGCAGAAAACUGCAAGUGAGGAGGAAAUAAAAAUGCUCUGUGUAUCCUGGAUUAGUAAUACUCCAGUAUUUUCAGGUUUGACUCCACUGUGGAGUAACUUUGGACAGUCACAUCUUUAUUUCAAUUUAGACACAUAACUAAUUUUUCUUAAGCAGCCUAAGUUGUCUGAGAGCACUGAGUGCCCAGGUACAUGUUAGUUAUGAAACCUGUUUUGUUUUAGUGAUACCAGGAACAACAUAGGCAUGUAAGUUACAAGAUCUCCAAUUGGAGCUGUCCAGGAGUCCAUCCGCAUGAUAUAAUUUGCAAGAUUAGAACUGCUAAUUUUUAGAAACUUCAGAAUGACAGAGCUGCAUACACAAAAAAGGGAGAAUGUUGAGUUUUUAAAAUUAGAGUAUCUACUUAUAGUACAGACUGUACAGAUAUGUAACUUAAAAAAAUACUCUGUCUAGAUUUUGAACUCAUCUGAAUUGUUUAUAUGUCUUUUUAAAAGAAACACGUAAUUAGAACCAUCUUUAUUAUUUAAUGACAGAAGGCCCAGCAAACUUUUGUUUUGUUAUUGACACUUGCAGAACAACAGCUAGAGACUUAGCAAAGUGAGGACAGAAGGUAUGUGCAGUAUCAUUGGAGAAGCAUGUGGAAUACAAACACGGGAAGGAGACAAGAAAAGCAAAGAUCUGCAUAAUGAUAAUCUUUACAGACCAUUAAUGGAUAUCACACCAUGCCUGAGAGUCUUGCUCACUGUUGUUUGUAGUUGCUCCUGCCCUGGAUCAGGUGAGUACCUCAAAGUCUCCUUCUAAUGCCUUGUGUUGAAAUGUAUUGCAUGAUAGGCUGAUGCACAGUAAUUUAUAUUUUCCUAAGGCCUAAAUAUUAAAAAAAAAAAAAAAGCUUUAAUAAUGUGGUCAGCAUGGCCCAGAAUCAGAUACAAUAGAAUUUCAUUGCAAACUCAUCUUUCCUCCCUUUCUUGAUGUUUUCUUUUAUGGCAGUAACCACCAAAGACCCAGACUAUAUUUCAAUGACAGUUUUCAUUAUUUUUAAGAGACAUUCAAAUGAAUGUGAAUGUAGUUGGCUUCAAAUUCCAAGUAAAUUCAGAUACUAAGAUGCCUCUAGAUAAUUUAAAAAAUACUUCCAAUUUUCAUUUUACUGGAAACCUAAUACUUUGUGUGGCUACUACUGCAAUUUCAGCUGUUACAAGUAAGACGAUUUGUUCAUUGAAAACCAAACACCUAUAAGAUUGUUUAUCAUAUCUUUAGAUUAAAUUUCUGAUGACUGUGCUUUCCCCAUAGUAUUAACCACACUGAAAUGCAAGUGAAUUAUAAAUUUAACCUUUUAUUCAAGACUCUGUCUUAUUUGAAUUUCACAGGACCAAUUUUCAAGCACAGUUUUCCCAUGUGAGCAGGCAGUGCAUAUUUUCUAGUCACUACCUUGAUUUGAGCCCAGUUAGGAGUUCUCAGUUUGUGCAAAUUCCAUUGUCCAUUUUAGCACACCUGAUUCAGUAACAUGUUGGAGCCAUUAUGAAUUCCUCUCAUGCACUUUAAUGUUUCCUGAGUAGUGGAAGUGUAAUUGUUGUUUGAAUAGCCAGACAUCUUUUGCCCUGAAGGCCCCCUCUGUGAAGAAUUUUUCACUCUGGUUUUGUAGUGCUAUGCCCUAGCCUAUCUUCUAACAACUUUAAUAGAAGUUUUUCUUUCUGUCAUAUCAGCAUUUAUCUGAACCACUCCGCAAUUUUUUGGUAGUAUUUAUAAUUUCUCUCAUUUUAUAGACUA